rnacentral:lncRNA from 1 species
GGUCUCAGGGCCCGCCCUGCUGAGUAGGGCGCCCGCGAGUGUGCCUGUCCCGUGGUGGUUGUGAGGUCGGAGACGGGGUUGCGCGGAAGGAAAGCGGGACGCGAGGGAUGGGUGUGGCUCCGGGCCGGAGCUCGCGGAGAGCGGCGGGGCCCACAGGAGGAGAGCCAUCUUCCGUGAACAUUCUCACAGACUUCUCAUUGUGUGCCCUCAUCCCCUGCUGGGAGGCACAACCAGCAUCACCACCCGCUUGUCUACACAGAAGCAUUGAGCUGCAGAGAGCUUAACCUGGCCCACGAUGACUGAAGACAGAGGAGGACCAGACUACAGUCACAUGCCACCCUCCAGGCAGCUGCUGGAUCAUCGUCCUGCCUUAUUGACUCGAAGAGCUUGUCACAGAUAAACAGGUCACCUCUGGAUCAGGUCUGCUUUAAACAAUAGCUUUCAUCAGCCCCCUCCUAAGCCUGAGAGACAUGGCCUGGCCACCUCUGGUUUUGCUCUGACCCAUCGGAUUGAAGCUGAGCAGACGUCGAGGUUUGACAGAUCCUACUUCGGGGGCUGCAGUGAGCUCAGAAAAGCAUGCAUCCUCUCUCCAACCUAGGACCACCAGUCUCUUAACAGGCGUGUCCGAUCUGAUGGCUGCAUACACCCCUAAAUGACUAUCAGUAUUUCCCCCAGCUGGCGAUGAAGCACGUGGGGAGAUUGCUCUGUGCAUCUUCAGGAUGCUGAGAAGUAAAGAAGUUGACUUUGGGGGCAUCUCAGUAGCUUAAGGAUUUAAGGUCACCAUGGUGAUGGGCACCAGCCUGAAGUCUCUCGAGUGGGACACAAGCUGAUGGAGAGCGAGCCUGGCUCCUGGGUUCAGGGAGCUGUGUCCUUGGCACAGCAUCCCAGAAGUUCUCCCUAUCUACUGCACCUGCUACUGAAAUCCCUUUGGGAAUUCUCCUUGCCCCGUCCAGGACAAAGUCAUCUAAGAAACUGGGAAGAUUCCAGAGGAACGGGCUCAACUUCAGGCAUGAGAAAGGACCAAAUCUUGGCCCUGACAACUCGGUCAACCAGUACUUCAGCCUCCCUGAACCUCGGUUUUCUAAAUCCGUAAAAUGGGAGGGGUAGUUUGUUUUGUUUUGUUUUGUUUUUCUUUUGCCCCACGGGGUGACUGUGGCGUUGAAGAAGAAUGUCACACUAGAAGGGGAGAAUGGAAAGCCCUUCCUUCAUUAUAAAAGGUCAGCUAAGGGCUGGGGAGGUGGCUCUGUCAGCCAAGUGCUUACCAUGCAAACAUGAUGACCUGAGUUCAAUCCCCAGAGCCCACACUUAACCUCUCAGGAGCAGCGUGUCUUGUCUUCCUGGCACUGGAAGAUCCCUGUGACUUGGUGACUAGCCAGCCUGGCCUACUUGGUGAGACCAUCUCAAGCAACAACGUGAAUGAAUGGCUCCUGAAGAAUGACAUUUGAGGUUGUCCCCUGGCCUAAAUGCAUAUGCAUGUGCACGCUUGUGCACACUGGGUAAAAAUGUCAUUAGGGCUGGCAACGUGGCUCGGUGGGUAACGGCACUUCCUGUCAAAUCCGAUGGCCUGAGUUUGAACCCUGAGAUCCACCUGACAGAGGGAGAGACUCAUCUCCUGCAAAUGAUCUCCCUGGCCUCCACAUAUAUCCACCCCACUACACACAUACAAAUAAAUAAUUUUUUUUGAGACAGGGUUUCUCUGAUAGCCCGGGUUAUCCUGGAACUGGCUUUAUAGACCAGGCUGGCUUUGAACUCAGAGAUCUGCCUACCCUGCCUCUGCCUACCUAGUGGCAGGAUUAAAGGCAUGUACCACCACCAGGCUAAUAAAUGUAAUUUUAAUAAUUGAUUUUUUUAUUUAUGUGUAUGUGUGCCUGCUUAUCUGUAUAUGCACCAUAUGCUGCAAGUACCCUCAGAGGCCAGAAGAUAGGCUGGAUCCCUGGAGCUGGAGUUACAGGCUGUUGUGAACGUCCCUAUGUGAGUACUGGGAACUGGGAGCCAAAGUUAGGUCCUCUGUAAAAAGCAAGUGCUCAUAACCACUGAGCUCUCUCUCUCUCCCUCUCUCUCUCUCUCUGUGUGUGUGUGUUCACAAUAAUGUAAUUUUUGAAAAAUGUUACCAGACAUCCCAAGAGUCCCACAGUCUUGAGCCACCUCCUCUCAGAAGAAUUGUGAACUUCAAAGGGAAAAUGGUAGCUUCUUACUGGGGAGCUCUGGCAGAAGCCACACAGUGAAGAGUGGAGCAUCACCAGCCAUGAGCAGCGCAUCUGCUGGCAGCUCCUGACAGCGUGGACGGGGACAGGCACACACCACCCACGAAGCGUGGUGGAGGAAGUAAGCCUGCACCAUGGGUUAGGCGACAAUCACACCUCAGCUGGGAGAUGGAGACAAGCAAGCAGCUUUAGUGUUGGUACGUAGGAGGAGGAAUGAUCAGGGUCACCAGGGGCAAGCAGGCAGGGAGUGCACUCUAGAGGACAAGGCUGUGGAAACCCUACACAGAGUAGAGUGCCCGAGUCUUGAGUGUAUGCGGGAACAGGAAAGCUGUGCUAUAAGUGACACUCGAGGUCCAUCUGAAGAAGUGUGAGAACAGAUGGCGUCCUAGAUGGUAUCACAGCUCUCAGAUGUGAAGCUGGUCCUGGGCCAGCUGGGAAUAUUGGAGUAUCUUGGUGACUGCAAAUUUACAAAUAAGUUGACAAAAUAAGCACACACAUUCACACACACACACACACACACACACACUCACGCAAACACACUCACGCACACAAGUGCAGGAAAGGAUGUUCAUCUGUAUAUUUAUUUAUUUUGGUGUGUUUGUGUGAGGGGGUGUAUCUUAGGGUUUCUAUUCCUGCACAAACAUCAUAACCAAGAAGCAGGCUGGGGAGGGAAGGGUUUAUUCAGCUUACACUUCCACAUUGCUGUUCAUCACCAAAGGAAGUCAGGACUGGAACUCAAGCAGAUCAGGAAGCAGGAGCUGAUACAGAGGCCAUGGAGGGAUGUUACUUACUGCUUUGCUUUGGGGAUUACAGUUAAGUGAUUGGAUAAAUCUCAGAAGAAACUUUGAACUUUGGACUUUUAACAUUGUUGAGACUGCUAUUGACUAUGGGGACUUUUGAAGUUGGACUAAAUGUAUUUUUGCAUUGUGUUAUAUUUAGGUAUGGCCCCCAUAGACUCAUAUGUUUGGGCAAGCCUAUGGGGGCCAGGGAGUGGAAUGUGAUGGUUUGUAUAUGCUCAGCCCAGGGAGUGGCAUUAUUAGAAGGUGUGGCCUUGUUGGGGUAUGUGUGUCACUAUGGGUGUGGGCUUUAAGACCCUCAUCCUAGCUGCCUGGAAGCCAGUCUUCUAGUAGCCUUCAGAUGAAGAUGUAGAACUCUCAGCUCUGCUGCACCACACCUGCCUGGAUGCUGCCAUGCUCCCGUCUUGAUGAUAAUGAACUGAACCUCUGAACCUGUAAGCCAGCUCUAAUUAAAUGUUGUCCUUUAU